rnacentral:rRNA from 1 species
AUUGAACGCUGGCGGAAUGCUUUACACAUGCAAGUCGAACGGCAGCACGGACUUCGGUCUGGUGGCGAGUGGCGAACGGGUGAGUAAUGUAUCGGAACGUGCCCAGACGUGGGGGAUAACGUAGUGAAAAUUACGCUAAUACCUCAUACGAACUAUGGAUGAAAGCGGGGGAUCGCAAGACCUCGCCCGGUUGGAGCGGCCGAUAUCAGAUUAGGUAGUUGGUGGGGUAAAGGCCCGCCAAGCCAACGAUCUGUAGCUGGUCUGAGAGGACGACCAGCCACACUGGAACUGAGACACGGUCCAGACUCCUACGGGAGGCAGCAGUGGGGAAUUUUGGACAAUGGGCGAAAGCCUGAUCCAGCCAUUCCGCGUGCAGGAUGAAGGCCCUCGGGUUGUAAACUGCUUUUGUACAGAACGAAAAGGUUUCUACUAAUACUAGGAGCUCAUGACGGUACUGUAAGAAUAAGCACCGGCUAACUACGUGCCAGCCGCCGCCGUAA